AUGCUGGCGGUGAAAUUCUCGCUGCUAGAGUGGGUGCCUGGGGAGGGGGCAUUGGUGGAGCCGCCACCAAAAUGCAGAUUUUUCCUGAGAACCCUUACAGGGAAGACCAUCACCCUCGAGGCUGAACCCUCGGAUAUGGUAGAAGAUGGAAGGGCCAAGAUCCGGGGUAAGGAAGGAAUUCCUCCUAAUCAGCAAAGACUGAUCUUUACUGGUAAACAACUGGAAGAUGGAUGUACUUUGUCUGACUACAACAUUCAAAAGGAGUCUCCUCUUGUGUUGAGAAUUCGUGGUGGUGCUGAGGAAAGGAAGAAAAGAAGAAGUCUUACAUGCAAGAAGAAUAAGCACAAGAGAAAGAAGGUGAAGCUGGCUGUCCUGAAAUAUUAUAAGGUGGAUGAGAAUGACAAAAUUAGUGGCCUUUUCCAGGGUGCCCUUUGUCCAGGGUGCCCUUCUAAUGAAUGUGGUGCUGGAGUGUUUAUGGCAAGCCACUUUGACAGACAUGAUUGUGGCAAAUGUUGUCUGACUUACUGCUUCAACAAACCAGAAGACAAGUAACUGUAUGAAUUAACAAAAGAUAUGAACAAA